UACGUAGGGUGCGAGCGUUGUCCGGAAUUAUUGGGCGUAAAGAGCUCGUAGGCGGUGUGUCGCGUCGGCCGUGAAAACCUGGGGCUCAACUCUGGGCGUGCGGUCGAUACGGGCAUCACUUGAGUUCGGCAGGGGAGACUGGAAUUCCGGGUGUAGCGGUGGAAUGCGUAGAGAUCCGGAAGAACACCGGUGGCGAAGGCGGCCGUGCCUGG
rnacentral:rRNA from 1 species